rnacentral:tRNA from 1 species
GUCGUUGUAGUAUAGUGGUGAGUAUCCCUGCCUUGUCACGCGGAGACCCUGGGUUCGAUCCCUGGCAACGGCG